rnacentral:pre_miRNA from 2 species
AUGAUGUUUUAUGUUCACUGCUGACUGUUCAUAGAUUCCCUGCAAUUACUUUGCAGUUUAUGUGGGGAUUCUACGACGGUCUGCAGAGACCUUUGACAUCAAAUA